rnacentral:pre_miRNA from 1 species
GAGAAACCUCAUUGAGUGCAGCGUUGAUGAAAUUCAUCCCUUUUGCAGUCGGGAGGAUCUUCAGCAAUGCUGCUCUCAAUAACGCUUCUC